rnacentral:rRNA from 1 species
GCAGCAGCCGCGGGAAUACGGAGGGAGCUAGCGUUGUUCGGAAUUACUGGGCGUAAAGCGCGCGUAGGCGGUUACUCAAGUCAGAGGUGAAAGCCCGGGGCUCAACCCCGGAACUGCCUUUGAAACUAGGUGACUAGAAUCUUGGAGAGGUCAGUGGAAUUCCGAGUGUAGAGGUGAAAUUCGUAGAUAUUCGGAAGAACACCAGUGGCGAAGGCGACUGACUGGACAAGUAUUGACGCUGAGGUGCGAAAGCGUGGGGAGCAAACAGGAUUAGAUACCCCUGUAGUCCCUGUCUCUUAUAC